AUUGCCGUCAGAAGCGUCUAAAACUCGUCCUGCUAUGGGCUUGCUUUUAUCCGUCGUAACCGUUUUUUUCAACCGAGUGCCAGUAUGAAUUUGUUGAAGUAAAGCACUACGAUCUCCUGGAUUGGGAACAGAAGGAGCCGAUGAAGCAGGAAGAGGUGGUGGUGGAGCAGACGGUGGACCGGCAGGCAUUGGCGGUGCAGAUGGAGGUGGUGGUACUGACAUAGGAGGAGGUGGUGGUGUUGGAGCAGACAUUUGAGGUGGUGCCGCCGAUUGAGGUCUUACAGGAGGUGUUGAAACAGGAUGAGCAGGAGCCAUACCACCGAAUAAUUUGGCGGCUAAGGCAGCUGCAUCUUUACUUGAACGUAUGUCAUCUUCGCUAUCUUCUUCUUCUUCAUCACCAUGUUGACUCCAAUUGUCAGAAUCGUGACCACUAGGUUGAAGAGGAGAAGGAGCUGGUGGUUGCAUUUUAGCGAAUGGAUUGAAAUGAUUUGAAGGGGCUGACGGAACAGCAGGAACGGCUAAAGAAGGUUGACCUGCAGCAUU